rnacentral:rRNA from 1 species
UACGAAGGGGCUAGCGUUGCUCGGAAUCACUGGGCGUAAAGCGCACGUAGGCGGAUCGUUAAGUCAGGGGUGAAAUCCUGGAGCUCAACUCCAGAACUGCCUUUGAUACUGGCGAUCUUGAGUUCGGGAGAGGUGAGUGGAACUGCGAGUGUAGAGGUGAAAUUCGUAGAUAUUAGGAAGAACACCGGUGGCGAAGGCGGCUCACUGGUCCAUUACUGACGCUGAGGUGCGAAAGCGUGGGGAGCAAACAGGG